rnacentral:rRNA from 1 species
GACGAACGCUGGCGGCGUGCUUAACACAUGCAAGUCGAACGGACAGGCCCUGCUUUUGUGGGGUGCUCGAGUGGCGAACGGGUGAGUAACACGUGAGUAACCUGCCCUUGACUUUGGGAUAACUUCAGGAAACUGGGGCUAAUACCGGAUAGGAGCUCCUGCUGCAUGGUGGGGGUUGGAAAGUUUCGGCGGUUGGGGCUGGACUCGCGGCUUCUCCGCUUGUUGGUGGGGUAGUGGCUUACCAAGGCUUUGACGGGUAGCCGGCCUGAGAGGGUGACCGGCCACAUUGGGACUGAGAUACGGCCCAGACUCCUACGGGAGGCAGCAGUGGGGAAUAUUGCACAAUGGGCGGAAGCCUGAUGCAGCAACGCCGCGUGCGGGAUGACGGCCUUCGGGUUGUAAACCGCUUUCGCCUGUGACGAAGCGUGAGUGACGGUAAUGGGUAAAGAAGCACCGGCUAACUACGUG